rnacentral:rRNA from 1 species
AUACGGAGGGGGCAAGCGUUGUUCGGAAUUACUGGGCGUAAAGGGCGCGUAGGCGGAUUAUCAAGUCAGAGGUGAAAGCCCUGGGCUCAACCUGGGAACUGCCUAUGAAACUGAUAGUCUUGAGGCCGGAAGAGGAUGGCGGAAUUCCCAGUGUAGAGGUGAAAUUCGUAGAUAUUGGGAAGAACACCAGUGGCGAAGGCGGCCAUCUGGUCCGGUUCUGACGCUGAGGCGCGAAAGCGUGGGGAGCAAACAGGAUUAGAUACCCCGGUAGUCC